CAUGUAGGCGGUCUGUCAAGUCUGAUGUGAAAGCCCGGGGCUCAACCCCGGAAGUGCAUUGGAAACUGGCAGACUUGAGUACGGGAGAGGAAAGUGGAAUUUCGAGUGUAGGGGUGAAAUCCGUAGAUAUUCGAAGGAACACCAGUGGCGAAGGCGGCUUUCUGGACCGAUACUGACGCUGAGAUGCGAAAGCGUGGGGAGCAAACAGGAUUAGAUACCCUGGUAGUCC
rnacentral:rRNA from 1 species